AGUUCGGACUGCAGUCUGCAACUCGACUGCACGAAGCUGGAAUCGCUAGUAAUCGCGAAUCAGAAUGUCGCGGUGAAUACGUUCCCGGGUCUUGUACACACCGCCCGUCACACCAUGGGAGUCGGUAACGCCCGAAGUCAGUGACCCAACCGCAAGGAGGGANCUGCCGAAGGCGGGACUGGUAACUGGGGUGAAGUCGUAACAAGGUAAC
rnacentral:rRNA from 1 species